UCGGGGGACACGACAUACUGAGACACCAGCUGUGGCAGCCAAGGGAUUGCUGGCAUCACCCAUUCCCUAGACUCAAGCUGCACAACAUAAGGCUCCAAAAGAGACCCCUGUCUUCUGCUUAGGGAGAGGAGAGGGAAAAGUGGAGAGGACUUUUUUAUACAUCUAGAUAACAGCUCAGCCACAGCAAGACAGGGCAACAGUUGGAGUUGUGAGGCCCCCAUUCCAGGCCCCAUCUCCCAGAUAACAUUUCUAGAUACACUCUGGGCCAGAAGGGAUGCCAUUGCCUUGAAGGAAAGGACCCAGACCUGCCAGCAUUUAUCACCUGCUAUGUGAGGAGACCCAGGUAUUCCCAGGUACUACAUCAAGGGCCUUGGUGAGCCUCUGAGACUUUCUGACUUCAGGUUACCAGCUGUGGUGGUUAUGGGGCAAAACUCCUUCUGAUUGAGAGAAGCAGAAGGAAAAGUAAAAGGGAAUUUUGCCUUGCACCUAAGUUACCAAUACCACCAUGGGGGGUAGAGUACAAAGGUGGCUUUGGGGUUCCUGGUUCCAGGACUUGACUCUUGGAUGGCAUUUCGUGACCUGCCCUGGACCAAAGAGGUGCCCACUACCCUGAAGGGAUUGCAGAAUGAACAAGAAUUUCCCAACCAACUAUCUGCUGCUUUCAAGAGUCUCACCUGCCACAAAAUGACUCACAUAAACUUAAGG
rnacentral:lncRNA from 1 species